rnacentral:rRNA from 1 species
UGCAGUCGAACGAUGAAAUCACUUCGGUGGUGGAUUAGUGGCGAACGGGUGAGUAACACGUGGGCAAUCUGCCCUUCACUCUGGGACAAGCCCUGGAAACGGGGUCUAAUACCGGAUAACACUCUGUCCCGCAUGGGACGGGGUUGAAAGCUCCGGCGGUGAAGGAUGAGCCCGCGGCCUAUCAGCUUGUUGGUGGGGUAAUGGCCUACCAAGGCGACGACGGGUAGCCGGCCUGAGAGGGCGACCGGCCACACUGGGACUGAGACACGGCCCAGACUCCUACGGGAGGCAGCAGUGGGGAAUAUUGCACAAUGGGCGAAAGCCUGAUGCAGCGACGCCGCGUGAGGGAUGACGGCCUUCGGGUUGUAAACCUCUUUCAGCAGGGAAGAAGCGAAAGUGACGGUACCUGCAGAAGAAGCGCCGGCUAACUACGUGCCAGCAGCCGCGGUAAUACGUAGGGCGCAAGCGUUGUCCGGAAUUAUUGGGCGUAAAGAGCUCGUAGGCGGCUUGUCACGUCGGAUGUGAAAGCCCGGGGCUUAACCCCGGGUCUGCAUUCGAUACGGGCUAGCUAGAGUGUGGUAGGGGAGAUCGGAAUUCCUGGUGUAGCGGUGAAAUGCGCAGAUAUCAGGAGGAACACCGGUGGCGAAGGCGGAUCUCUGGGCCAUUACUGACGCUGAGGAGCGAAAGCGUGGGGAGCGAACAGGAUUAGAUACCCUGGUAGUCCACGCCGUAAACGUUGGGAACUAGGUGUUGGCGACAUUCCACGUCGUCGGUGCCGCAGCUAACGCAUUAAGUUCCCCGCCUGGGGAGUACGGCCGCAAGGC